rnacentral:lncRNA from 1 species
UGAACUUCAACCAAAUUUUUUCCAGAAUUCCAUAAAAAUAACAUCAAUCAAAAGCUCUUUCCACGCAGGUUCCAGAUCAAUCAAAAUUACAGACAAACAAGCCAUGAAUUUGAAGAAUCGAGCAAGAACAUUUUGAUGCACAAAACUUCCAUCAAGCAUAUCUCAGUCAUUAGUACACCAAAUCACACGAAAUUUAGCUCAGAUUAACCAGCAUGAUAAGAUCUACACUAUUAUACACAUAAAAC